rnacentral:lncRNA from 1 species
AUGAUCACGUGUAAAUGUAGAAAGUGUUUGUAAACAAUUGCCACGUGUUUAUUGUGCAACAAGUCUAUACCGCACUAAACAUACGACUAUAUUUAGUGACAACUCGAAUAUUUUUAAUCAACUAAUAUCAGUUCCUGUGUAUGUUUCAUGCACAAAUGCAUGAAUGUUGACGUAUAUUUUCGUUUCCGGCUUUACCAAGUGUGUAGAAUCUAGACGCUACCGUGAUUUUACCUCCAAAUUGAAGAGUUCAAGUGCUACCAUUGGUCAAGAAUAAUGUAUUCGGAAUGGCCGUGACUUUAAUCUUCCGAUAGAUGGCGCAACAUUGAUAUCACAAAUGUUAGCUCAAUCCGCCAAGGGUGAAGAGAACGGGAGUGGAUCGUAACCCUUGGCUAGCGAAGAUGGUCUUUUGAUUGAAAGAAGCUUCCAAGUUUGGUAAAAAAUCCAGGAUAGUUUAUGAAUCUAAUAAAUGUUUUAUAAACUUUAACUGCAGACUGUAUGUAAUGUUAACUGGAAGAAAAACUAAGUCCAUUUAUAAGUAAAAUAUGGAAAAAGUGCAUUUU